CUGUACCUUCUAAGCACACACUGGCUGCACUAACACACGGAAAAGGUCUCCAGGUUCGUUAUUUUUAUAAUGACAAAAACUGCGACACACUCUGACAGAGAGUAGUGAACCAAUCGCACACAAUCCAGCCGAAAGAAAAGAAAAGAAGAGAAAAGAAAAGAAACCUAAGAACCCUCAUGAGUGCCCAGGACAACAGGACUCCACUACCACAAGGACUGAUAAGUCAAGGUAAUACCCAUGAGAGCAAAAAUUUUCUACAGACAUCAACUCAAGGUUCUAUUCAAAUAUCUAAAUGAAUGAACAAGAAUUUUAGCCAUUGGCAGACGUUGUUACCAAAUACCUGCCUCAAGCAUCAAAACACACCAGUACCAACAACAAAACAAAUUAUCUACGGAAGGCCUGUUUAAUCCAAAUCCUAUGAAUUCUAGCCAACUUAUUUAAUAUUUAUCUCUACUUUAAAAUGAGGAAUUAUGAAGUAAACUCACUUAAAGGGGAAGAGACGGUCUUGUCAAACUGAUGCCUUUAGUUUUGAGGUGGCUACUGGGAAGAAACUUGUGGGAACAAUUGGCUCACAGGGCCAGUCAUCUAACAAAGCUCUUUUUGAGGCCUGACAAAAAAACCGUACCAUCUGCAUAGAAGAAAAGACUUAUCUUUUUCUUCUCUACUGGAGGAGGAAGAAGGCUGAACAGAAAAGACAAAACAAAAUGAUGGGGAAGAAGCGGUCUGAGAGUCCGGGAGACACAGCCAACAAAAGGUGCCACCGUCCGAUCCGACCCCCGUUCUGCCUCGUCCACCACCUACCUAGAGCAAGAACAGCUGACUCUUUGGGUUGGAUCCACAAAAUCCCAAGUAGCAGGAUUAUUAGCAGGCUCUUCUUCAAGAGUUGGAGUCGACAUUUGGCUCCUCCUACAUAAGGUUAAAAAGG